ensembl:lncRNA
CGAGGUGGAAGCUUAUUAAUAUUGGAUUUCUUUGCCCGUGUGGUUCUUUCUGGAACAUUUUCCAGACCCCAACCAUGCCUUAUGGCAUAUUUCUUGGAAAAAAUUACACCAAAAAUUCAUAAAAUAUUUUUAAAAACCUAAACUUUCUUCUAGUAUUUUCUUGACACCUUCUCAGUAUUUUACAGAUACUUGGGGCUAUUUUAAGGCAAUUUUCCAUUUUAAAGGACGUUUUCUUUGGAAUGAUUUUUGGUUGACUCCUCUGGUUUUUUGUGGUUUCUUUUUCUUUUUCUCCUCCUUUUCUAUAUUUUUUGCCCAUCGGGGCUGUGGAUACCUGGUUUUAGUGAGUAUAUAGCUAGGUGGAUAGAUAUAUUAUUAUUGUUAUUAUUUUUUACCCAACGGGGUCAUGGAUACCUGCCUUUUAUUUUAUUUUUUUUAAACUUGCCCAUCGGGGCCACGGAUACCUGCUUUUAAUUUUUUUUUCCCCCUUAGCCCAUCGGGGCCUCGGAUACCUGCUGUGUACCCCCUCUCUCCCUAACCUUCUGGCCCAUCGGGGCAAUGGAUACCUGCCUCUUUUUUUUUUUGUUUUUUUGCCCAUCGGGGCCUUGGAUACCUGCUCUAAUUUUUUUUUUUCCUUGCCCAUCGGGGCCUCGGAUACCUGCUUUAAUUUUUUUUUCCUUGCCCAUCGGGGCCGCGGAUACCUGCUUAGAUUUUUGUUUUAUACCACCCAUCGGGGCUUUAUAUGGUUGGAAAAGUGUUGGGUUUUGUGGUUCCUUGUACUAUCUGGAAUGUCUACAAAAUUUUGCUGCUAAUCGUUUGUGUUGUGUGAGUGGACCUACGGCUUUGGUUGGGAGAUGACUUUGCAGUUAGGCUAGAGGGUUAGUUAGGCUGGGGAGGAAAGAUGGCGGCCACUUCAGAUUUGCCGCCCAGCUUGGCUGAGGGGUAGCUGUGCUAAGUAUCACUAGGAAGGUAAGAUGAAUAAUGUGACAAGCAAAGGAAAUGGUAUGCAUUGCAUGAGUUAAAUGUUUUGAAUGAGCUGACUUGGGUCAUGUUAGGAGCUUGGCAUGAAUUGUGGUAUCAUGAGGUGGGAAAACAUAGGAUCAUCCUAUGUCAUAUUACAAGGGUCUAAUGGAAAAUGAGCGGGAGAAGAAUUAGGCGCAGUGUUCAAAAUGGCGAUUUUGACCUUGCAGCAUUGCUUAGCAUGGCUCUCUGCUUUGUUAGAGUGUUCAAAAUGGCGGAUCCAUUUUGCCGCAGUGUUCCAGUGGCGGGAAGCCACAUCAUGGGUGUCUUUGUUCUAGUGUGCAGCAUGGCGGUAGAAAUAUUCUGUUACAUAGUAGAAGAUGGCCGCUUAAGUACUUGCCGCAGUCUAAAACAUGGCGGGCUUUUGUCUCUGCCGUGUGCAUUUCCUGAUAGGUUUUGCUGCAGGGACAAUAUGGCUGACCUUGUCAUGUGGAUAUCAUGGCAGUUUGUCACGUGGAUAUCGUGGCAGGGGUGUUUGACCGUUACAUUCUUGGCGGGCUUUGCAUCAGGAGGGCCUGCCGCAUUGUUAAAGAUGGCGUACUUUGCCGCGGAAAAAGUGAAAGGAGGGAUUGGCAGCGUUAGAUUGCCGCGUGCCCCACCCAAUCAGAAAGGGUGGUAGAAUUGGUCACAGCCAGUUAGUGGAGGAUGGAGUUAGAUGAGUUAGCAUAGCACCUCACUGCCGUCUCUAAUCAGCCAGUCAGGACUGGCCACAUUUGUACUAAUCUCAGUGGGUGGUACCAAAGUCUUUCCAAGGACAUUUGGCCUUUCCACUUCCUCCCUCCCUCUCACUGGCUCCCUCCCCUCCCUCACUGCCACUUGCAGUGCUGGAUAUUAGGUUGUGCAGGCAGAACCUUACGCCAUUCCUCUGCAUUGGUGCCGUGGCCAAAGCCCUUCCCCCACUUCCCCCUCCCCCGCCCCCUGCUCUUCUGCGCUGUGGCCAGGGGCAGUGCUCCAUGCCUGCCUAAGUGUGAACUUGGCGGUGAGUCGUGGCAAGGACCAGAAUGGAUCGCAGAUGAUCGUUGGCCAACUGUUGGCAGAAGAGGAAUCCCUGCCUUCCUCAAGAGGAACACCUACCCCGUGGCUAAUACUGGGGUGGAGAUGGGGCAUGAGGAUCCUCCAGGGGAAAGAUUCACUACCACUGAGCAACAACUCUAGGCCAGGAGGUUAUACCAAGAUUCUUUCCUGGGCCCAGUUAAGAAGGUGAAGUCUCAAGACAACCACCACACAUCCAGAGCUCCUGGUUGUUCCCUUCAUAUUUGCCAAAUCAUUAUCUUUCCCUGAAGCAGUGCAAAGAGCAAGAAAUGUGAACACACCAAGGAAGAUCAACGUGCCUGGCAUGCUAGCAUUUUAGAAUAGCAGAAUGAAUGUGUAUUUGUUUGCUUGUCUAUUUCUUCUUUGAAUGUUUUUGGUCUUUCUUGUCUAAAGUAUGUCUUACCCAUUUCCAUGAUUCUCUUGCUCGUUUCUUCUCUGUGUAUCUUUGUCUCAUUUACUUUUUUGUACCCAGGAGUGGUCUGUGUCUUGUCUUGAAUGUCUCUCUCUAGUCUUCUUCAUUUUGUUGCUGAUUCUACUUGCUCUGCUAGAUCUAGCUCUUCUUUCACUGUUCUCUUUGAGCCUCUUGAGUUAUGUGUGCCUUGUGCUCAUUUCUUGCUACGCCUGCCUCUCUUCUUUUUCUCUUUGUGAACUCUGUCACCCAUUCCCCUUGUUGGUUUGACAUUUUACCUUUUCUGAUACUGGCUACCCUUCUGCUGUUUCUACUCUUUAUCGUGCAUAUUUCUCUUUUCUACAUAUUCUUUGUGCCUUUCUUGGGCCAUUUUCUCUUUUUUUCCCCAUGCUUUGUGUGCCCCAGUGUCUCUUUGUUCUUUGUGGUUUUCAGUUUCAGCAUUCAUCUCUGUUCUCUUGGUUCUUCUCUCGUUUUGCCUUUCUAUUCACUUUUGAGUAUUUCUUUAGUCUAUGUCUCCCCCUCUUCGAUUUCAUGCAAUUCUCUCUCCUUGCAUAUUUUUUGUGCUUGUGUGUGUGUGUGUGCUCUUUUGUGUGUUUGUAAAGGCGCCUCCUAACUGCUUCCAGUAGGUGCAGAGUGUCAGCUAUCAAAAUAAGCAUUGCAGAGCUGUUCCUUAUGCCAGGCCACCCUGUGAGAUGAACCAAAACCAACAGAAGGUCCAAGGGUCUAGACUGGAGUUGGAUAGAAGACUCAAGUCUCAGUGAGACAGAAGGCCAAAGACCCAGGAUGGGAUUAAAAAAACCUGUCUUGAAGACCUGUGACCCAAAAGAUGGAAGUGCCCUAGCACGCAUAAAGACCCAGGACUCAAACCUAUCUAUAUAAGACAGAAGGCCCAAGAGAGACAGAUAUUUCAAGACUAAAUUAGAUGGAAACUGGAGGUUCAUGACAGAGAUACCAGGAAAGAAAGAAGCCCCAGGACCAAAGGAAAUUCCAAGAUGAGACUCUUAAACCCCAGCUCUUUUUUAUUGCUAACCCUACUCUUGGACAUUUUGAGUUCUCCCUUCCUUCUUCUCAUGUCUCCAUUUAUAUCUACUUCUUUUGAGAUGUCCUUUUUGAUGUUGCUGUUACCUUUAAAAAAAAACAUAUCUUUAGAUCAGUAAUAUUAUGCUUUGGCCUGUUUUUAUUACAGUUUUGAGCCACUUAUUAAGUUUUUGAAGUUUUAAACUUCCAUUUCUCUUCGCCUCUCCACUUGUGAGGGACACAUAGCUGACAUUAUAUUUCAGUCCCCUCUUUCCUCAGAAGCUCUAGGCUAAUGAGAGAAGGAAAGUAUCAGGUUCAGUUAUUGAGGGGAAACAAAGUGCCAAGCUAAGUAGAGAAAAUGUGAAGAGAUGCUCCACAGGCCAAUGAGAAUUAGACAAGAAAUACACAGAUGUGCCAGUUUGCUGAGAAGUGUGAGCCAGCAACAUGUUACUUAUUUGAGCUUGGGUGAGCAGGACACCUGAGGUUUGGGAUUCUUAUUGAUGGUUAUGAAGGAGGAUUGGGCCUAACACAUAAUGAGGCCCCAAGGAAGGAGUGUGAACUCCCUGCUCAUAGUAGUGGCCUAAUAAUGUGGUAAGCUGCAUAAGUUUUAUGCCUCGGUUUAAUACCCACCUCUAGGCCUAAAGGUGAGAAAAUUUGGGAAUAUUUAGCAGGUUUAAUCCUUUCAUUGAUUUUUUUCCUUUUACCAUAAGGAAAGUUAAUUUUAGUGAUAAUAUAUAUGAAAGCACUGUAAAACACAAAAAAAGCAAGACAUUCUCAUUAAUAAUGUAUUGGCACUCAUGCAUAGCUAACAUUUGAAAAUGCAUUGUCAGUUGUGAAGCAUUAUGUAAAUCAAGGGUUAUCACACCCUUUUUGUAAAGGGUCAGAUGGCAAUUAUUUUAUACUUUGCAGGCCAUAUGGUCUCUCUCUGCUUUUUUUUCGUUUAAAGUGAAUAUGGUCUGUGGGCCACAGUUUAUCACCCCUGAUGUAAUUUGCCAGGGACUGUGUGCUGAAUGAUAUUAAUUUCUUUCUUUGUGCCUGUCCCUGUAUGCAUUAAGGAUGCAAUGAUUACUUAUGGUCAUAUCCAGGUGAUAUGAAGAAAAAUAUAUGAAUGUGAGUUAUAAACUAUUAUGCACUUUAAAAGCUUGUCGCAACUUUCAGAGUUGAUGAAUGAAUAUUACAUGGUAUAUACAUUUCUAGGCACUGUAUAUACAAAGAACAAAAGUGUGAAUAAAGUACUUUCUCAAAAGUAUGAAAUACUGUACAGAUAUUAGGAAUUAAGUCUAUGAUAAAUGAGUAAUUCAUGUAUUUGUGGCCAUUGUGUUUCUGUGGCUCUGAUGAUUUUGAGUAAAGAUGUAGUAUUCCAAGUCACAGAAAAGAAAACAUUGUUCAGUUGCUAAGUCGUGUCUGACGCUUUGUGACCCCAUGAAUUGCAGCAUGCCAGGCUUCCAAAUCCUUAAACUAUAAAGUAUACUGCAAACACAAGGGAUUUAAGCUAUUGUGAUUACUUAUAAUGUGCCAGAUAACAUCCUGGGCACUACAGAUGUCAAAGGAAAAAAAAUGUUGUUAUUAUAGAAUGAUUAAAAAUUUUAGAUUUUAAAGUGCUUUGUACUAAAGCACUGUAUAAAUACCAAUGGGCUAUAUGUUUAUGAAUGAAUGAAUAAGUAUUAAUUUCCUUAUAUAUGCCAGCUAUUGUUUCAGGUACUGUGAAAUCCAAGACAAUGCUCCCAAGUAAUAAGAGGGAUGUUUAUGUCCUAUACUACUUAGACAUAAGGAAUUAGAUAUUACUUAUUUUAAUCAAUAAAGACUUUACUGAUGAUGUUGAGCUAAAUUAUUACCAGUAUAUUUUCCAAGGUAACAGGAAAAUGUAAUGAAUGAGAUUGAGCUUUCUAACUAUAAAAUGCUACAUAAAUAUAAAACAUUAGGUGUUUUCUUUGUGAACAAAACUUAUGUUGAGACAGACAUUUGUUUGUGUGUGUUAGUCAUUCAAUCAUGUCUGACUCUUGUGACCCCAUGGACUGUAACCCACCAGACUCCUCUCUCCGUGGAUUUCUCCACACAAGAAUACUGAAGUGGGUUGUCAUUCCCUUCUCUAGGGGAUAUUCUUGACCCAGAAACUGAACUCAGGUCUCCUGCACUGCAGGCAGAUUCUUUACCAUCUAAGCUAUAGAUGCUCAUUGUGUGCUUGACCCACUAUGAGAAAGGUAGUAUAAAUCUCUCAGUAUACAAACUGAGAGUUUAAAUACUUGGUAAAUGAAUGGGUCAUUAAUAUUAGUUGCCUACUAUGUGAACUCACUGUUAUAGGCACUAAAGAGACACACAAAUUUAUUAUUUUAUUGUGCCUACAGCUGAGAAUAGGCAAUACACAUGUUAAUAUUUUGUGAACUCUAAAAGCACCAUAUAAGUGUAACUAUUGAUUUCCUCAGUUGGUAUGCCUAAUACUAGGCUUGCAAAAUUGUUUCAUAGUUAUUAUACCGUGAAAAAAGUCAGAAAAAAUUUGAGCAAGGAUUGUUAAUUAUUGAACACUUCAAAUAUGAUACAUAAAGGACUAAAUGUCUGAUGAAUGCAAGACUGGAUGAUAAUUAUGUGCCAGUCUCCUUGAUAAGCAUAAGAGAUAUGAAGAUAAUCCAUCUUUACUGUGUUCUGGGCAGCAGAAUGUAAUAUAUAAAAUCAAUUUGUAGGUCUUAAACUGGCAUACAUAUAUAAGCCAUAUCUGCUGAAUGAACACUGAUUACUUACUCUCUCUUAUUCCGAGAGAGAGCAACUAAGGAUGCAAAAAUUCAUUGUCAUUAUUGUUGAACCUGCAACAGAGAUCUGUGUAAAUUUUACAAAGCUUACUGUUCUAUACAGAUCUAAAGAAUUAACUGUUGACUUAAUGAAUGGUUACUGAUUACUUUCUAUCUAUAAAGCUCGGAACUGUGUAUGCUCUAGGAUAUAAAAAUGACUCUCCUUAUCAGAUGGUGUAAAUAACAUGUGUGGGAAUCCAGACUAAAAGUUGCUUAACCAUUGCUCAGCUUAUUUGAUGAUAAAAAUAUGGGCAGAAUGGAAUUGUGCAAGGCAGUAUGCUGAAUGCUGAGCUAGGUGGAAAGAUAAAAUCCAGACCAGAAGGCCACUUGCUCCCUGGCUUGACUGAAGGAAUGGAAUUUUUUUGUUUCUUUGUUUAAAGAGCAAGAUGUUAUCAUUCUCCAUUGGUCUUUUAAAUGCUGAAGAUGGAGGUGAAUUCAGUCCACUCUGGCCUGGCAUAGAGACACUGAAAGAGUAAAAAAUGGUUCAGGUUGGCUUUUAGAUUAAUUUGAUGAACAGUGUCUUUUAUGUAAAAUACAUCAUUCUAGGUCCUGAGCAUAAGAGAUAUGAAAUGGGCCUAGUCUAAAGGGCUUUAGAUAGAUCAAAGAUCAUAACUGAAGAUCCAAAAACAUAUUUGAGUUUUGAGUAAAUAUUUGAGUUCCCGUUCCCUAGAUCCUAUUCCUGUUCCUUGAAUUCUUGUUCCUAUUUUCUUGGUUAAGUCUGGUCCAGAAAACCUAUUGACUUUCCUUGGAAACUUAAAAAAUAGAAAAAAAAAUAUUGUUCUUUCAAUGUAAAAUGAAGAUAUAUUUCUUGGCUCUAGAAAGUAUCAAUGUCAUGUGCUCAUUGACCUAGAUUGAAGCCAGAAGAUUAAUAAAAGGCCUCAGAGUUUGUCCUUUAAUUCAUUAAUAUUCUGUUUUUAUUAUAGUUAAAUGGGUAAGAUGACAAUUAGGAUUAUUAUGGCAUAGAGUCAGGAAGAUGAUAAAAAAGAUCCUUCCUAGAUUUUCCAUAUUUUGUAAAUUAUUCACUUGAAUGAAGUACUGUUCUUAAGUCCUGAGGAGAAUGAAGAGAUUUAAAUGACCUAGACCAAAAUAUACUUUAAUUUCACUAGUUCAUGGAGGACACACAAGAACAAAUUUAAUAGGAGAUUGCAAUUCUUUCAUUAGUUGGAAAAACUAAAGUAGCUGUGAUGUUAAGAUACUGAGAUGGAAUGAUUAAACAGAUCACCUUCUCUUUGGCAUGUUUUGUAGAGAAGGAAUAAAAAAGCUUUUCAGUUAUUCAUACAAGCAUUGAAGAAGGUGAUGCUAAAUGAAAUAGAUCUGGUAAAAAGGUAAUUGUCUUGGAGAUGCAGUUAAAAAAACAUGAAAUGGAGUGAAACUUCAUUGAAUGAGUGUCUAUUUCAAGGCAUUGUGCUAAUUCCUAGACAGAAAACAAAAUAGAUUUUGACUGAAAGACACUUACUUGACUUGGAAACUGGUAUAUAAGAGAAAAGGUUAUUGUUAAUUAAUUUUUAAAAUUUAUUCAUUCAUUCUGCAAGUAUGUUUGAGUGCCUAUUGUAAAUAAGCUCCUUAGCUGGAUUCUAGCUGGGUUCUCUAGCUAGCCCCCAGAGAGAGACAUGAGAAAAUGAAUGCCUUCCCAGAGAACUUAAAAUUUGCCCUUUGGCCUGUUUUCUGAUCAGGCCAUUUCUAAAUGGCUUACUUCCUCAAUAAUAUUAUGUGGUUUAAUUUCUACUCCAUCUUAAGCCACUCUGGCCACUACAAUAAGCAGGGGUUUUUACUGAACUUGCUCCUUCAGUUGCAGGAUCCUUCCUUAUAAUAAAACACUUCAGUUUUCCUAACCCAUCCCUCAUGAAAACUGGUUGUGACCAUAGUGAGCCGAAAGAGGGAUGAGAAGCAACUGAUUCCCAAACUUCAGUCUCGUUGGUACCAACACUGAAGAACCACUCAUACUCAAAUCACAAUUGGUUUUGAAACACACUUACAGUUUUGUCUAUGACAAAUAUACACUGCAUAAGUCUUUUUAAAAAACAAUCCUCCAAUAUUACUUAGCAAGUUUGGAGAUGGAGACAUGAUUUGUGUUUUGCAACAACAGCUUCUCAACUAACAACUUAGAAAUCUUUCCUUUUUCACCAUCAAAACCUGCUUAAGAUAAGCCUUGAAAAUAGCCUAACAAUUUUACCAUGCUUAAGUCUUAAGAAUAAUAGAAAUUGAAAGUAUUUGGCAAAUAUUGGAGGGAAAAAAAAAUCUACAUAUAGGCCCAAAUGGGCUUUGGCCUUUUCUAUUUUUAAAUCACUCACAGAGGGUGGGAUAGGAGGAAGAGUGAAAGAAAAGGUCAAGCCUGAUUCUAAAAAGGGUUGGUCUUAAAAGCAUUGCUACCUCCAGAUCUAACUUGGGGAUUGCUGUUCUUAGUGUAAUUCAAUUUUAAUAACUGGUCACUGUUAAGAUGAGGACAAAGUCCUUUGUCCCUACUCAUUUCUAAAAGUUUGGCUUAAUGGCUAUCAGUUAAGCCUGGGGUUAUAUAAUUAUGGAAUUUAUUAAAUCUAUGUGACCUCUCCAUCAUAAGGUAGUCUUAAAGCUAAAGUCAGUCCACUACAUAGAAAGAGGACUUUAUCAUUCACUGUAAUUCAUACAUACUUUCAAAGCAUCUAAACUUUAAAGUUUACAUGGCAAGACAACAAUACCAUCUGUAAAUAUAGAAGGAAAUAGAAGAAUGGCAGGAGAUAGUUGAUGGAGGUAGCGAAUUUGAAGGUCAUUUGCGGUAAUGUUUGUAGUUUUUCCUUUGUACAUUUUUACUUAGGUGUAAGGUGUAUCUGAUAUUAAUAAUGUUUGUUGUUUAAUAUGUACUAUUAGCUGGACUCAGUAACUCCCCUUUCUCCAGGUAGGGAUGAGAGAUGCAUUAUUGGAAAGGAGAAAGUAACAGUCUUCGUUUCACAGUUUCUGGCAUCCCAAGGCCACCACUACUGAUAAACAAGAAUAACAGAACAUUCUGUCACCUGAUUUUUGUGGCAUAAAUGAAAUUGUGAACAAAUUUUUUUCUUAAGAAGAAGAAAUGGCUUUACAUCUACCCUUUUACCUUAAAAGGAUCUGUGCCAAAAUGCUCUGAUGAAUGGAAGACACACUUGGACUUGUGAACUGAUUUGAAACACAUAAUAUCUAAGCCUUGGUUGUUUUGAAGAUUGAAAAGUCUUGUUCAGUUCGGAUAACCACCAAAAAAGCAACCUAAAGCUGUCUAUAUGUCACAACUGAGACAAAUUGGGGAGUUUGUUUAAUGUCAAAUAAAAAUGUACUGUUUUGAAAGCUUUGUUUUUGAUGCUAAAACAAGUUCUACCUCACUGUCCUUUCCUAAUCACACUAGUUAC